UCCGGCUUAACACCGGCAGUCUCCCUAGAGUCCCCAACUUAAUGAUGGUAACUAAGGACAGGGGUUGCGCUCGUUGCCGGACUUAACCGAACAUUUCACAACACGAGCUGACGACAGCCAUGCAGCACCUGUCUCUCCGCCCCCGAAGGGGAAGCCACAUCUCUGUGGUUGUCGAAGGAUGUCAAGGCCAGGUAAGGUUCUUCGCGUUGCUUCGAAUUAAACCACAUACUCCACCGCUUGUGCGGGCCCCCGUCAAUUCCUUUGAGUUUUAGCCUUGCGACCGUACUCCCCAGGCGGGUUACUUAAUGCGUGAGCUUUGGUACUCAGUGGGUUAAUCCACCGAACACCUAGUAACCAUAGUUUACGGCGUGGACUAC
rnacentral:misc_RNA from 1 species